rnacentral:rRNA from 1 species
UACGUAGGGCGCAAGCGUUGUCCGGAAUUAUUGGGCGUAAAGAGCUCGUAGGCGGCUUGUCACGUCGAUUGUGGAAGCCCGGGGCUUAACUCCGGGUCUGCAGUCGAUACGGGCUAGCUAGAGUGUGGUAGGGGAGAUCGGAAUUCCUGGUGUAGCGGUGAAAUGCGCAGAUAUCAGGAGGAACACCGGUGGCGAAGGCGGAUCUCUGGGCCAUUACUGACGCUGAGGAGCGAAAGCGUGGGGAGCGAACAGG